rnacentral:rRNA from 1 species
UACAGAGGGUGCGAGCGUUAAUCGGAAUUACUGGGCGUAAAGCGCGCGUAGGCGGCUUUGCAAGUCGGGUGUGAAAUCCCCAGGCUUAACCUGGGAACUGCAUUCGAGACUGCAUUGCUAGAGUAUGGGAGAGGGAAGCGGAAUUCCGGGUGUAGCGGUGAAAUGCGUAGAUAUCCGGAGGAACACCGGUGGCGAAGGCGGCUUCCUGGACCGACACUGACGCUGAGGCGCGAAAGCUAGGGGAGCAAACGGG